rnacentral:rRNA from 1 species
CCUACGGGAUGCUGCAGUGAGGAAUAUUGGACAAUGGCCGUAAGGCUGAACGAGCCAAGUCGCGUGAAGGAAGAAGGAUUUAUGGUUUGUAAACUUCUUUUAUAGGGGAAUAAAGGUAUCCACGUGUGGAUAUUUUCAUGUACCCUAUGAAUAAGCAUCGGCUAACUCAAUGCCAGCAGCCGCGGUAAUACGGAGGAUGCGAGCGUUAUCCGGAUUUGUUGGGUUUAAAGGGAGCGUAGGUUGUUUUUUAAGUCAGCGGUGAAAGUUUGUGGCUCAACCAUAAAAUUGCCGUUGAUACUGGAAGACUUGAGUGUGUUAGAGGUAGGCGGAAUGCGUGGUGUAGCGGUGAAAUGCAUAGAUAUCACGCAGAACUCCGAUUGCGAAGGCAGCUUACUAAGCCAUAACUGACACUGAAGCACGAAAGCGUGGGGAUCAAACAGGAUUAGAUACCCCUGUAGUC